rnacentral:rRNA from 1 species
CUUGGCGACCAUAGCGGCGUGGUCCCACCCGAUCCCAUCCCGAACUCGGCAGUGAAACGCGCCAGCGCCAAUGGUAGUGUGCAUCCGCAUGCGAGAGUAGGUCAUCGCCAAGC